rnacentral:rRNA from 1 species
UACGAAGGGUGCUAGCGUUGUUCGGAUUUACUGGGCGUAAAGCGCACGUAGGCGGAUUGGUCAGUUAGGGGUGAAAUCCUGGAGCUCAACUCCAGAACUGCCUUUAAUACUGCCAGUCUCGAGUCCGGAAGAGGUAAGUGGAACUCCUAGUGUAGAGGUGGAAUUCGUAGAUAUUAGGAAGAACACCAGUGGCGAAGGCGGCUUACUGGUCCGGUACUGACGCUGAGGUGCGAAAGCGUGGGGAGCAAACAGG